rnacentral:rRNA from 1 species
UACGUAGGGGGCAAGCGUUGUCCGGAUUUACUGGGCGUAAAGAGCGUGUAGGCGGCCACGCAGGUCCGUUGUGAAAACUGGAGGCUCAACCUCCAGACGUCGACGGAAACCGUAUGGCUAGAGUCCGGAAGAGGAGAGUGGAAUUCCUGGUGUAGCGGUGAAAUGCGCAGAUAUCAGGAAGAACACCAAUGGCGAAGGCAGGUCUCUGGGCCGAUACUGACGCUGAGGAGCGAAAGCGUGGGGAGCGAACAGG